rnacentral:rRNA from 1 species
AUUGACCUCGGAUUAGGUAGGGAUACCCGCUGAACUUAAGCAUAUCAAUAAGCGGAGGAAAAGAAACCAACAGGGAUUGCCUCAGUAACGGCGAGUGAAGCGGCAAAAGCUCAAAUUUGAAAUCUGGCUCUUUUAGGGUCCGAGUUGUAAUUUGUAGAAGAUGUUUCGGGUGUGGCUCCGGUUUAAGUUCUUUGGAAUAUUACAUCAUAGAGGGUGAGAAUCCCGUAUGUGACCGGCAGCCUUCGCCCAUGUGAAACUCUUUCGACGAGUCGAGUUGUUUGGGAAUGCAGCUCAAAAUGGGAGGUAUAUUUCUUCUAAAGCUAAAUAUUGGCCAGAGACCGAUAGCGCACAAGUAGAGUGAUCGAAAGAUGAAAAGCACUUUGGAAAGAGAGUUAAACAGUACGUGAAAUUGUUGAAAGGGAAGCGCUUGCAACCAGACUUGCACGCAGUUGAUCAUCCGGUGUUCUCACCGGGGCACUCUGCUGCGUUCAGGCCAGCAUCGGUUUUGGUGG